rnacentral:tRNA from 100 species
AGGCGCGUAGCUCAGCUGGUUAGAGCACUACCUUGACAUGGUAGGGGUCGUUGGUUCGAGUCCAAUCGUGCCUACCA